CGCUGCGCGUCCCGAACGCUGGGCAUCAGAUUCGAUCCUUCACCCUCCUCUGGCGACAGCCCUCCUCCCCACCCCGCCCCCAUCCAUUGCCCACAAACCUGUGUCCCUUUCUCCGCCGAGAUGCCGUGGGAUCUGUUCCCUCCUUCCCCUCACGGAGCCCUCCCCCAGGCCUGGACUCAGCUGCCCCCACCUCCUGAGGUGUUUCUCACGUUUUGAUUUUAGCGCAGGCCUCGCAGCAUGAAAGCCUGACCUAAAAUCAAAGCUGAUUAUAGUUCCUGCUCCCAAACAAUCCUCCCUUCAGCCGGACCUGAGCUUCCCGAGAGCCUGCGGGUGAGCUGCAAGGAGAGCCCCGGCGACCCCUGCGGGGGAUGUGGGUGAGAAAGCGCCUCACUCACCUCCCGUGCAAAAUGCCGGAGAGACCAGAAAACGCAGCCAUCGAGGAAUAUAAAAAAUAAACAUUUACUACAAACAUAAUAAAGAAAAAAAAAGAGAAAAGGCAAAGGAGGAGAAAAUCGAGAAGGCUGGCAGCUUGCAUUGCCCACCCACCUGAAUCCCCAGGCUGCUGGUCAUGGAAAAGCUUCUGGGUCUCUCACGUCAGACUCUCGGCUGACCACAAAUGAUCUGCACAUUGUCCCCUACCUGGAAGACAUGUUUGAGAGAGAGGAUCGAAACCCCACCUCUCAUUCUGAAAGAAACCAGCCAGCGUUCACCUGGCAGGAAGUGGGAUCAGGGGAUCUGCAUGGGCUUCCCCCUGCAGCAGACGGAGGCUGCCCUUGCCUGCCCUUUGCCCACUGAACUAUUUUGGCCCUGGGAGGGGACCCAUUCCUCCUCCAUCAGCUACUCUCUUGGCAGAGCUGACAGUCAAUGGGUUCGAGUUUCUACAGUCAACGGGCAAGGCAUCUGAUCCAAGGUAGGAAGCUUGUGUUCUUCCCUGAGGAACCCAGCACUGGCUUUGCCCGACAGCAGCACCCUCAUGGAACCCCUUGGUUCCAGCUACCCCAACCCCCAGAGCUGCCUGAGGGCUGUCCUUUCUGAGCCUAGCCCUGCUACCCUCCCUCUGAAAAGUGAAGCCGGCUAGGCUUCUGGGUGGGGUGGGGACUUGGAGAACUUUUGUGUCUAGCUAAGGGAUUGUAAACACACCAGUCAGUGCUCUGUGUCUAGCUAAAGGUUUGUAAACACACCAAUCAGCACUCUGUAAAAACGGACCAAUCAGCACUCUGUAAAAUGGACCAAUCAGCAGGAUGUGGGUGGGGGCCAAAUAAGGGAAUAAAAGCUGGCCACCCAUGCCGCAGUGCCAACCCACUUGGGUCCUGUUCCACCUUGUGGACGCUUUGUUGUUUCCCUCUUUGCAGUAAAUCUUGCCACUGGCUCACUGGGUCAGGCACUGCAUUUAUGAGCUGUGACACUCACUGGAAAGAUCUGCAGGUUCACUCCUGAAGUCAGUGAGACCACCAACCCACCGGGAGGAACGAACAACUCUGGACUCACCACCUUUAAGAGCUGUAAGACUCACUGCGAAGGUCUGUGGCUUCACUUCUGAAGUCAGGAAGACCACGAACCCACCAGAAGGAAGAAACUCUGGACACAUCUUAACAUCUGAAGGAACAAACUCCGGAUUUGUUCCUUACACUUCCCUCCCCACUUCCACCUCCUGCUCCUGUCCCUCAUAAGUCUCCAUCUAAUGGAUAAAUCAAAGUGUUCCUAAACACUAUCUUUAAGAACUGUAACACUCACUGAGGGUCCGCGGUUUCAUUCUUGAAGUCAGGGAGACCAAGAACCCACCAGAAGGAACCAAUUCCGGACGCACUUCCAGCCAGAUGAGUAGCUCUGCAGCCUUCCAAAGGAGCCUCUUUCCGUGCAAGCUGGACCAAGUCUGUUUCUCCUGCCCAUGAGCAUGAGGGUCUUUCUGGAUACCCCAGGUCCCCUGGUGGAGGGGCCCUCAGGAAUCCAACGAUCACCACUACAGGUCAGCCUCAGCACCAGCACUCAGACGCAGGGGCGGCCGGCCUCAGGCCUCCUCAGCCCAGCCCCGUGGCCUCUCGCUCAGCUCUUUGUGGCUCAGUCAUUCAUCACUCUGAACAAACCCAUCUUGACAAUGGACAAAGCAAUACCUUCGAUCCUGCUUUUUAGCAACCAUCUUGGCAGCGUGAGACUGUUCAGCAUCCCAAAGGCAGGACCAGGUCAAGGACCCACCCGAAUUCCUGGACAGAGCUCGACUGUCAGUCUGAGGCUUCCUGGGCUAGGCCAAAUGCAAGGAAACCCAGGGGUCCUCUGCAUCCUGAGCCUGGCGCCAACCUGCAGUAGCAACAUGAGUGAGACCCAGGAGCCUGCCAGGACUGGGCUUACACCCCAGAGCCGCCACCACUCCUCAUCAGCUGGACAAAGAGCUUACUUCUCUGAGUUUCAGUUUCCAGAUCUGCAAAAUAGGUGUAACAAUCCCCAUGUCUGACCAUCUGCAGGAAGAUCAAAUUCUUGUCUCUGGAACAUGACAGCUUCCAAAUCUGAGCCAUUCUGUCGCUUCUCUUGGGUCAAUUGGGAUUUUCACAGUGUCACCCCAUCAGACUGUCACUAACAUGGCCUGAGAGCCCUGGGCUCAGGGGGACUGCCAGCAUGGCAGGUUUCCCUCCCCGUACUCCUGCCAUUACUUCCCUAAUGAGACCAUCCCCCAGAGAAGGGAAAGGAGGGCAGUUUCGUUCCUUUAGUGGAGACUCUCAAAGGUGAGGAGCCUGGGCUAGCUUCAUUUUUUUUGAGGUUCUUGGUAUGCUACAAAUGAGAAGGUUGCAGUGAUUGUGGUAUAAUUUCAGUGUUCUCACAACAAAUUAGAACACAGCAUAUUUGUGGUGUUGACAGGACAACUGCAGAACUCAGUAGAUUUCCUGGUGAGUUCUGAGUGGUGCAGUCCUAGGGCAGGAUACAAGCUUUGGGUCUCAGGAUGGCUGUCCACUUCUGCUGGAUCUGGGGUGCACCCUUAAAGUCCGAAUUUCUAGAAAAAGACAUAAUCAAACCCCCUGCAGAACUUUCACGGGAUCCCAUUCAAAUAAAACAGGGUGGAGGGACAUGUUGACAUGUUUGGAAAUACCUGAAGAAGGGUGGGAUAUGGGAUUAUUUAAGGGAAUUCAUUGUUCAUUGUCCCGGCCAUGAUAGCAUGGAAGAACAGCCCCAAAGGGUCAUAAGAUAGUUCGGGAAAGAGCUUUACAAGUCAAAGUGGCAGAGCAGCAGGUCCCCAACACUUUUGACACCAGGGACCAGGUUUGGUGGAAGACAAUUUUUCCAUGGACUGGGAUCAGGCUGGGGGUGGUUUUGAGAUGAUCCAAGCACAUUACAUUUAUUGUGCACUUUAUUUCUAUUAUUAUUACAUUGUAAUAUAUAAUGAAAUAUUAUACAACUCACCAUAAUGUAGAUCAGUGGGAGCCCUGAGCUUGUUUUCCUGCAACUAGACAGUCCUAUCUGGGGGUGAUGGAGGACAGUGACAGAUCAUCAGGCAUUAGAUUCGCAUAAGGAGCGCACAGCAUAGAUCCCUCGCACGCACAGUUCACAACAGGGUUCACGCUCCUGUGAGAAUUGAGUGCUGCUGCUGAUGAUGUGACAGGAGGGGGAGCUUAGGUGAUAACGUGAGCAACGGGGAGCAGCUGUAGAUAUGGAUGAGGCUUCACUCACUCGCUCACCGGCCUGCGCUGUGAGGUUGGGGACCCGUCAGAUACAGCAUUUAUGACCACAUGAUAACCACGGCUGAACCCAGGUGGUGGGAUACACAGCUGCUUCAUUGUACCAAUCUUUCAACUUUUUCAUAUGCUUGAAAUUUUUCAUUAGAAGCGAGUAAAUUUUUUGGAUUGCUAAUGCAAAUAUGUUGUAGAUUCUUCUAAAUCAAAUGCCAUUACAUCAUGUCCUGGUGGCAGUGGGCACCCGGUGCCUGUGAGUGCCUGCUCUGGGGAUGCCUGUGGGAGGGUGGUGUUUCAGUCAUCACCCGGGCUGAACCCUUCACAGACCUCACCUCUCUAGCAACAAGUCACAGGGAAUGGGUUAACUACAGCAGCCACAUGUUCUAGGCAUCUGUCCUCUGAUUUGCGUCUGGCAGAGCUAGAGAGGCAGAGGUCAUCAUCUCCACUUCACAGAGAGAAACUGACCCCAAAGGGACAAGAACUUGCAGAGAUCACAGAGCUGACUCGUGGCCAAGUGGGAAUUUGAACCAAUGGCAUUCUGGUAAACCACUGUGAAAAAUAAGAAAGAGGGGGAGGGGGAGGGAAGGCAGGCCUGAUUUGUAGUGUGUGCCAAUUUCCGUGGUAUAAAUACUACCUUACUGCCAUGGCUGGUUUCAAAGUACCAAUGUUUAACAACCGGCUUGCAGAAUUUCUGAAUAUUUAAUAAUUGGCUCUAGCACAGCAUCGAUCUAAACCCAGGCCUAGGCGUCUGUCCCUUGAGCUCCUCUUCCGUUUUCUGUCCUUUGCACGCCAAUUGCAUAAUUUCACCACAUCUGUGUUCUACCUGUUAUUUAUUAAAUAGUUUUAAGACACCUCACUUCUUAAAAGCAGGUGACAUGACUAUCAUUGAAAGCUAAAUCACUUGCUAUGAAGUAGAAGCUUAUAUUAAAAUGAACGUUUAUUUUUUUAAAUUAAAAAAUGUUCUUUGUACUUAUUAAAGCUCCUAAGGAGAGUCCCAAAAUACCCUUGCCAUGUGCUUGCCCUGGCGACCCACUCUGGGGACCUGGAGCCUGUCUCUUGGCCUUCUGUGAACGGCCUCUCAAUGGAUUCUUUUGUUUUGAGAUGGAGUCUUGUUCUGUUGACCAGGCUGGAGUGCAGCCUCCACCUCCCAGGUUCAAGCAAUUCUCCUGCCUCAGCCUCCAGAGUAGCUGAGAUUACAGGUGCAUGCCACCAUACUCAGCUAAUUUUUGUAUUUUUAGUAGCGACGGGGUUUCACCAUGAUGGCUAGGCUGGUCUCGAACUCCUGGCCUCAAGUGAUCUGCCCUCCUUGACCUCCCAAAGUGCUGGGAUUACAGGCGUGAGCCACCAUGCCUGGCCCUCACUGAAUUCUUCACAAGGCAAAUUCAGCAAAUCUGAUGUGAAUGUGAAAACGGUCGACCAGUAUCAGAAGCAUCUCUUGUAUGGUUGAUGUCUCCAUAGAGCCCUUCACCUACAGCAUCUCUGAGGACUUUAGGGUCUAUAAGGAACACAGCCUCUCCUGGACAGCCUGCUCCAUGGAGUUGGACUGGGUUUCUGCAGUGGGUUUACCUGCAGCCACAGCUGGGGUGGGGUUUCAUAAUUACCAGCAGUGGAAGCAGCCAGCAUAGAUGGAGACUUAUGAGGAACAGGAGCAGGAGGUGGAAGUGGGGAGGGAAGACACAGAUAAAAGAGGCUCAGGUGGGGAGGAAGGGGGCAGCUUGAAAAGAUGGCGCCAGUGCCUACCAACACUGAACACAUGCCUGCGUAUGACACAUCAUCCCACUCCAAAGGACACUCUCGGAGAUGCAGACACAUCCCCACCGAGAGGCAUGCAGGCUUCAUAACGGCUUGAUCCAUCACAUUCACAAACGAAAAUCAAUAUGAAUGCCCAUCCACAGGAAAAUGGAUAAAUCAACAGUGGAAUACUAUACAGCAGACAAAAAGAGCAAACUAUAACUACACACACAAAAACACAAAAUCUCACAGACAUAGGUUAAGAAAAAGAAACAGGACACCAAAGAUUCCAUAUUGUGUGAUUCUAUUUAUAUUAUAUAAAGUUCAACAACAGGCAAACUAAUCAAUGGUAACAGAAAUCAGAAUAGUAGCUGGGUAUGGUGGUGCACACCUGUAGUCUCAGCUACUCGAGAGGAUGAGGUGGGAGCAUUGCUGAGUCCAGGAGUUCAAGACUGCAGGAAGCCAUGAUUGCACCACUACGCUCCUGCCUGGGUGACAGACUAAGACCCUGCCUCUAAAGAAAGAGGAAAAUAAAUCAGAAUGGUGGGGUGCUCACGACUGAGAAGCUCAGGGAAACUUUCAGGAGUGCUAGUAAUGUUCUCCAUCUUCAUCUAGAUAAUGGGUAAAGGGUGUUUCCACCUCAUAAAAAACGUUUUGAGUUGUACACAUGAAAUUUUUGCACUUUAUGUAUGUUAUAUUGCAAUAUAAAAAAUUAAUAAAUGUAUGAAAGAAGUAAAAAAAAAAAUAUAGUGCUGGGUGAAGAGGAUCAGAAACAGAAUGACAUCAAUAACCCAAUACAGUUUAAUAAUUAAAAAGCACAUGCACAUUAAGCAACAACACACAUUUUGCAAGAACACAAACAAAAGAGACACAUGAAGCACACUAAAAUGGUUCCCUAUGGGUCAAGGAAUGGGAGUGAGAAAUAGUGAUAAAAGGGAACAUGUCAAUAAUGAAAUAAGAGCAGGGCCUUCCUAGGACCCGUGGGGAUUAUGUGCCAUUCAAGAAAGAAAAGGAAGAGGAGGAGAAAGAGGAGUUGGACUUUGCGAAAUCUGGGCAACCCACUGGGGUUUGUAGCACUGUCCAGGGGACCCCCGCUUGGUCUUUGAUUGCUGGCGUCCCAAACUCUGUGCAGCAUGCUUUACACACACACAUUACCCUGUCUGCUGUCCUGGGAGGGCAGACAUUGGUCGCAGAGGAGACAGAUCUUCUCCUGAAGGACUGAAGCUCUUACGGGGCCUGGAUGUGGGAGGCUGGCAGCUCAGGCCCCACUGGAGUUCUGGGGAGAAGGGGAAUUUGAGCUGGGGCUUACAGGUGACCUAGGAUUUAUUGUAGGCUGAGAAAUGGACACAGAGGCAGGGGAAUGUGGUGUGUGAUGGAGUCAGGGAAAUAACCCCAUUAAGGAAAAAGGUUCAUGGGCAGCUCAUUCACAGGCCAGCGUGGUCCAGAGCCAGACUGUGGCACACAUCCUCCGUGAGACCUGCCAUGUCCGAUAAAACCACUCAUGCUUUCAUUUAACCAAUACUUUUAAUUAAUUCACUUUUUUCGUAAAUGUUUUAAAAGAUAGCAUCGUGUAAAGAUAUACAAAUGGCUAAUAAGCACAUGAAAAGAUGUUCAGCACCACUAAUCAUUAGGGAAAUGCAAAUCAAAACCAUAAUGAGAUACCACCUAAUACCCAUUUAGAUGGCUACUAUUUUGAAAAAGAAAUAGAGAAGUGUUGGCAAGGAUGGGAAGAAACUGGAACCCUUGUGCAGUUGGUGGGAAUGUAAAAUGGGGCAACUACUAUUAAAAAAACAGUAGGGCAGUUCCUGAAAAAAAUUAAGCAUAGAAUUACCAUUAGAUCUGGUAAUUCCACUUCUGAGUAUAUACACAAAAGAACUGAAAGCAGGAAGGGAUAUUUAUACGCCCAAUGUUCAUAGCAUCAUUAUUCACAAUAGCCAAACAGUAGAGGCAACCAAGUGUCCUAUGAUGAAUGGAAAAACAAAGUGUAUCAUAUACAUACAGUGGAAUGGAUGAAUGGCUAAAAAAAAUCUUGGAAUAUACAUACAAUGUGAUAUGAUUCAGCCUUAGCAAAGGAGGAAAUCUGAUACGUACUUCAACAGAGGUGAACCUCAAGGACAUCAUGCAAAGCAAGAUAAGCUACUCACAAAAGGACAAAUACUAUAUGAUUCCACUUACGCGGGUAACUAGAAUCAUCAAAAUCAUAGAGACAGAAAAGAAGAAUGGUGGUUGGGGAAGGGGGAAGGUUUAAUGGGUGCAGAGUUUCAGUUUUACAAGAUGGAAAGAGUUCUGGAGUUGGAUGGCGAAGGUUACACAACGAUGUGAAUGUAUUUAAUGCCACUGAUCCAUACGCUUAAAUAUGGUUAAGAUAGACAAUUUUAUGUUAUGUGUAUUUUACCACAAUAUUUUAAAAGGUAGCGUUGUAUCACUAUUAUAAAUGAAAAACUUCUUGUCUCCCUAAGGUCUCCUUAAAACCUUGAGGUCUCCUUAAAAGACAAUGCCACUCCCAAGUACAGGCUGGUGUGAAUGUUGCCAUACAUGCUGGUGCGUGAUGAGGCUGUGCACUGAGACCUCAUCUUGCUUUAUUUAAAGGGGAGAUCAGCAAGUGCCAGGGAAG